UCUCCGUUAUCCGGAGCAGUCCUCUUAGAGUUCCCCCUUGCGGGUGGCAACUAAGAGUAAGGGUUGUCAGAGGCAUUCUAGCCCAGGUAAGGUUCUUCGCGUUGCGUCGAAUUGAACCACAUGCUCCACCGCUUGUGCGGGUCCCCGUCAAUUCCUUUGAGUUUCAGUCUUGCGACCGUACUCCCCAGGCGGGAUGCUUAACGCGUUAGCUGCGGCACCCGGAGACUAUAAAACUCCAGACACCAAGCAUCCAUCGUUUAAGGCCAGGACUA
rnacentral:misc_RNA from 1 species